AGAACGACCCUGUUGCCUUGGGCUUUCUGGCUGCAUGUUUCGGGGUGCAUUAAGGUUUUCGCGUGGCUCUAGAGGAUGUACUUCGGAUAAGGUGGGGGGGGAGGAGAAGGCCCAAGAAUAGCACAGGAGACGGGAAGUGAGGGACUUUCUGUAGUCACUUAAGCCUCUGGGAUUCCCCUGUGGUCGAGCUGUAGACCCCAACUCUGCUGGGGAGCCCCUUCGGUUUUCUCUAAUAUGAACCAAGUAUCCGAGGCAGGAAGGGCCUGGGUCUCCAGAGCGCUCCUUCACUCGGCCUGGCGGAAGCUCUCAGCACUGGCUUGACAGGGGCCACAGAUCCAGAAGAAGGCAAUGGAUGCACUGCUGCUGGAGUUAAAGGGCCCUACAACAGUUGCCGAAGGUGAGAGGAGGAAGGCCAGAUGGCACAGAUGGCCUGGGAGAGGACCAGGAACUAGCAGUCAAGGAGCAAUUAAGGCUGAACGGCAUUUGAGUCAGGAGGCUGCCUAAUGGGAACGGUGUGUGUGUGUGUGUGUGUGUGUGUGUGUGUGUGUAUAGGGGCAGGAGCUACGGCCAGGCAGAGGUGGGGAGAGGCUUGGUAAUAAGGUACAUGGGAACACACAAUGUAGGGUCCUGCCCCUGACUUCUAUCCCAGUUCUGGAAGCUUCCUAGGGUUAUCGAGGUGAUGUCUGGGAGGCAUGGCUGACUUCCUCUUACCUGGCCCUUCUCCAGUUUCCGGAUGGCGGUGUUGGCACGGCGCUGUAGCAUCUUCAGUGUGGUCUGUAGCUCCUGCCGUUGCCACUGAGGUAUCACAGCAGACUCUGUGACCUAUGGUUAGAGCAGAGUGUCACCCUCGCCCUUCUCCUGACUGACAGUGCCAGGGCAGACGCCAUAUCUACCCUGAAGACAAACACCUGGGCCAGCUGGAAGGCUGGGAGGGAUGGGAAGGGUCUGGAAGGGAUGGAGGAGGGAACAUGGCCAGUGGAAGGUAGGGACUGGAGCAGCGAGGGUAGCUCCUGACCUCGAUGAGCCGUCCUAUGUCCUUCGAUAGCCGGUGAGCUUCCGGCAGGUCUCGGUUGCCCCGACUUAGUCGCUCACUGGCUGCUUCCACUUGCUGAGACAGGCUCUGGCCCACCUCUCGGGCCUAUGGGAGAGGACCAGAAAGCGAGGGCUUACAGUCACCUUCCUAGGACAGAGUCUCAUAUCUCACUGCAGUCUGGGCCAUAUUAGAAGUAUUUGCUGGGCUAGAGAGAUGGCUCAGCCAUUGAUUGCUCUUCUGAAGGUCCGGAAUAAAAUCCCAGCAACCACAUGGUGGCUC